GACGGGGGAUGCAAGCGUUAUCCGGACUCACUGGGCGUAAAGCGUCUGUAGGUGGUGAUGCAAGUCACUGGUGCAAAACUCUGGCUCAACCGGAGGAAAGCCAGUGAAACUGCAUGACUAGAGUGUGGGAGAGGUAGAAGGAAUUCCCUGAGUAGCGGUGAAAUGCGUAGAUACAGGGAAGAACACCGGAGGCGAAAGCGCUCUACUGGAACACAACUGACACUGAGAGACGAAAGCUAGGGGAGCGAAGGGG
rnacentral:rRNA from 1 species